AGAGUUUGAUCAUGGCUCAGGAUGAACGCUAGCGACAGGCUUAACACAUGCAAGUCGAGGGGCAGCAUGAUUUGUAGCAAUACAGAUUGAUGGCGACCGGCGCACGGGUGAGUAACGCGUAUGCAACUUACCUAUCAGAGGGGGAUAGCCCGGCGAAAGUCGGAUUAAUACCCCAUAAAACAGGGGUCCCGCAUGGGAAUAUUUGUUAAAGAUUCAUCGCUUGAUAGAUAGGGCAUGCGUUCCAUUAGGCAGUUGGCGGGGUAACGGCCCACCAAACCGACGAUGGAUAGGGGGUUCUGAGAGGAAGGUCCCCCACAUUGGUACUGAGACACGGACCAAACUCCUACGGGAGGCAGCA
rnacentral:rRNA from 1 species